GGUUAAGUUAAUAAGGGCGCACGGUGGAUGCCUUGGCACUAGAAGCCGAUGAAGGACGUGACUAACGACGAAAUGCUUUGGGGAGCUGUAAGUGAGCAAUGAUCCAGAGAUGUCCGAAUGGGGGAACCCGGCAGGUAAUGCCUGUCACUCAUUACUGUUAAGGUAAUGUAGAGGAAGACGCAGUGAACUGAAACAUCUAAGUAGCUGUAGGAAGAGAAAGCAAAAGCGAUUGCCUUAGUAGCGGCGAGCGAAACGGCAAGAGGGCAAACCGAAGAGUUUACUCUUCGGGGUUGUAGGACUGCAACGUGGACUUAAAGAUUAUAGAAGAACUACCUGGGAAGGUAGGCCAAAGAGAGUAAUAGCCUCGUAUUCGAAAUAGUCUUUAUACCUAGCAGUAUCCUGAGUACGGCGAGACACGAGAAAUCUCGUCGGAAUCUGGGAGGACCAUCUCCCAACCCUAAAUACUCUCUAGUGACCGAUAGUGAACCAGUACCGUGAGGGAAAGGUGAAAAGCACCCCGGGAGGGGAGUGAAAUAGAACCUGAAACCGUGUGCCUACAACAAGUUCGAGCCCGUUAAUGGGUGAGAGCGUGCCUUUUGUAGAAUGAACCGGCGAGUUACGAUAUGAUGCGAGGUUAAGUUGAAGAGACGGAGCCGUAGGGAAACCGAGUCUUAAUAGGGCGCAUUAGUAUCAUGUCGUAGACCCGAAACCAUGUGACCUACCCAUGAGCAGGUUGAAGGUGAGGUAAAACUCACUGGAGGACCGAACCAGGGCACGUUGAAAAGUGCUUGGAUGACUUGUGGGUAGCGGAGAAAUUCCAAACGAACUUGGAGAUAGCUGGUUCUCUCCGAAAUAGCUUUAGGGCUAGCGUCGAUGUUAAGUCUCUUGGAGGUAGAGCACUGUUUGGGUGAGGGGUCCAUCCCGGAUUACCAAUCUCAGAUAAACUCCGAAUGCCAAUGAGAUAUAAUCGGCAGUCAGACUGCGAGUGCUAAGAUCCGUAGUCGAAAGGGAAACAGCCCAGACCACCAGCUAAGGUCCCAAAAUAUAUGUUAAGUGGAAAAGGAUGUGGGGUUGCACAGACAACUAGGAUGUUAGCUUAGAAGCAGCUAUUCAUUCAAAGAGUGCGUAAUAGCUCACUAGUCGAGUGACCCUGCGCCGAAAAUGUACCGGGGCUAAAACAUAUUACCGAAGCUGUGGAUACCUUUUAUAGGUAUGGUAGGAGAGCGUUCUAUGUGCGAAGAAGGUGUACCGUGAGGAGUGCUGGAGCGCAUAGAAGUGAGAAUGCCGGUAUGAGUAGCGAAAGACAGGUGAGAAUCCUGUCCACCGUAAGACUAAGGUUUCCAGGGGAAGGCUCGUCCGCCCUGGGUUAGUCGGGACCUAAGGAGAGACCGAAAGGUGUAUCCGAUGGACAACAGGUUGAUAUUCCUGUACUAGAGUAUAUAGUGAUGGAGGGACGCAGUAGGCUAACUAAACCAGACGAUUGGAAGUGUCUGGCCAAGCAGUGAGGUGUGAUAUGAGUCAAAUGCUUAUAUCUUUAACAUUGAGCUGUGAUGGGGAGCGAAGUUUAGUAGCGAAGUUAGUGAUGUCACACUGCCGAGAAAAGCUUCUAGCGUUAAUUAUACUCUACCCGUACCGCAAACCGACACAGGUAGUCGAGGCGAGUAGCCUCAGGUGAGCGAGAGAACUCUCGUUAAGGAACUCGGCAAAAUGGCCCCGUAACUUCGGGAGAAGGGGCGCUGACUGAUGGUCAGCCGCAGUGAAUAGGCCCAAGCAACUGUUUAUCAAAAACACAGCUCUCUGCUAAAUCGUAAGAUGAUGUAUAGGGGGUGACGCCUGCCCGGUGCUGGAAGGUUAAGAGGAGUGCUUAGCGUAAGCGAAGGCAUGAAUUGAAGCCCCAGUAAACGGCGGCCGUAACUAUAACGGUCCUAAGGUAGCGAAAUUCCUUGUCGGGUAAGUUCCGACCCGCACGAAAGGCGUAAUGAUUUGGGCACUGUCUCAACGAGAGACUCGGUGAAAUUUUAGUACCUGUGAAGAUGCAGGUUACCCGCGACAGGACGGAAAGACCCCAUGGAGCUUUACUGCAGUUUGAUAUUGAGUAUCUGUACCACAUGUACAGGAUAGGUAGGAGCCUAUGACCUCGGGACGCCAGUUUCGAGUGAGGCGUUGUUGGGAUACUACCCUUGUGUUAUGGCUACUCUAACCCAGAUAGGUUACCCCUAUCGGAGACAGUGUCUGACGGGCAGUUUGACUGGGGCGGUCGCCUCCUAAAAGGUAACGGAGGCGCCCAAAGGUUCCCUCAGAAUGGUUGGAAAUCAUUCGCAGAGUGUAAAGGUAUAAGGGAGCUUGACUGCGAGAGCUACAACUCGAGCAGGGACGAAAGUCGGGCUUAGUGAUCCGGUGGUUCCGUAUGGAAGGGCCAUCGCUCAACGGAUAAAAGCUACCCUGGGGAUAACAGGCUUAUCUCCCCCAAGAGUUCACAUCGACGGGGAGGUUUGGCACCUCGAUGUCGGCUCGUCGCAUCCUGGGGCUGUAGUCGGUCCCAAGGGUUGGGCUGUUCGCCCAUUAAAGCGGCACGCGAGCUGGGUUCAGAACGUCGUGAGACAGUUCGGUCCCUAUCCGUCGCGGGCGUAGGAAAUUUGAGAGGAUCUGCUCCUAGUACGAGAGGACCAGAGUGGACUUACCGCUGGUGUACCAGUUGUUCUGCCAAGAGCAUCGCUGGGUAGCUAUGUAGGGAAGGGAUAAACGCUGAAAGCAUCUAAGUGUGAAGCCCACCUCAAGAUGAGAUUUCCCAUGAUUUUAUAUCAGUAAGAGCCCUGAGAGAUGAUCAGGUUGAUAGGUUAGAAGUGGAAGUGUGGUGACACAUGUAGCGGACUAAUACUAAUAGCUCGAGGACUUAUCCAA
rnacentral:rRNA from 1 species